rnacentral:rRNA from 1 species
CCUACGGGUGGCAGCAGUCGAGAAUCAUUCACAAUGGGGGAAACCCUGAUGGAGCGACGCCGCGUGGGGGAAUGAAGGUCUGCGGAUUGUAAACCCCUGUCAUGUGGGAGCAAAUUAAAAAGAUAGUACCACAAGAGGAAGAGACGGCGAACUCUGAGCCAGCAGCCGCGGUAAUACAGAGGUCUCAAGCGUUGUUCGGAAUCACUGGGCGGACAGCGUGCGUAGGCGGUUUCGCAAGUCGUGUGUGAAAGGCGCGGGCUCAACCCGCGGACGGCACAUGAUACUGCGAGACUAGAGUAAUGGUGGGGGAACCGGCAUUCUCGGUGUAGCCGUGAAAUGCGUAGAUAUC